AACGGGGUGGAGCAGCCUGGAGUGCUCGUUGGGCUCAUAACCCAAAGGUCGGUGGUUCAAAUCCACCCCCCGUUA
rnacentral:tRNA from 1 species